UACGGGGGGGGCAAGCGUUGUUCGGAAUUACUGGGCGUAAAGGGCUCGUAGGUGGCCAACUAAGUCAGACGUGAAAUCCCUCGGCUUAACCGGGGAACUGCGUCUGAUACUGGAUGGCUUGAGUUUGGGAGAGGGAUGCGGAAUUCCAGGUGUAGCGGUGAAAUGCGUAGAUAUCUGGAGGAACACCGGUGGCGAAAGCGGCUCACUGGACCUCUUCUGACGCUGAGGCACGAAAGCUAGGGUAGCGAACGGG
rnacentral:rRNA from 1 species